GGUGGCUUGGUCAGGGACAGUUGUCUCCACAGCUCAGCAAGCAGACUGCGAAAAUAUCCCGUUCCGUGCUCUGGCUGUGCAGUACGUCGUAACCUGUCUGCUCGUUAGAUGCAACGUGAAUUCUUCCGGCUUUGCUUUCUAGUACACAAUGAGAGGAGCCCUUCCGGCUUUGCAAACGUGUGCUAGACUGCGUGCUAAAGGAUUUUUAGACACUCUUCAGACAGGCGACUCAUUCCAGAGGCAUUUUACACGCACAGCUUAUUCAUUCGUAACUUUUAAAUGUACGUCACAGAGGAAGUCUAUGGUGACUGACCGGCAAUAAGGCUGUUUUUUCAUUCAAAGUACGUGAC
rnacentral:lncRNA from 1 species